AUUGAACGCUGGCGGCAUGCUUUACACAUGCAAGGCGAACGGCAGCGCGGGGCAACCUGGCGGCGAGUGGCGAACGGGUGAGUAAUAUAUCGGAACGUACCCAGAAGUGGGGGAUAACGUAGCGAAAGUUACGCUAAUACCGCAUACGAUCUACGGAUGAAAGUGGGGGACCUUCGGGCCUCAUGCUUGUGGAGCGGCCGAUAUCUGAUUAGCUAGUUGGUAGGGUAAAGGCCUACCAAGGCGACGAUCAGUAGCUGGUCUGAGAGGACGACCAGCCACACUGGGACUGAGACACGGCCCAGACUCCUACGGGAGGCAGCAGUGGGGAAUUUUGGACAAUGGGCGCAAGCCUGAUCCAGCAAUGCCGCGUGAGUGAAGAAGGCCUUCGGGUUGUAAAGCUCUUUUGUCAGGGAAGAAACGGCGAUUUCUAAUAAAGAUUGCUAAUGACGGUACCUGAAGAAUAAGCACCGGCUAACUACGUGCCAGCAGCCGCCGUAA
rnacentral:rRNA from 1 species